GUUACAGUGGCUCAGUUACACCGGAAAGACGCAACCAUGUCCAUUAGGCAUUGGAUGCUAUGGAUUAGAGGAUGGGUUGGGCUCAAUAUUUCGGAUAUGGUGAGGGACCCAAUCAGGAAUCUAGUUCGUGCAAAUGGUGGGUUUGGCUUAACUAAGGAUUGGAGCAAUAUCCCGGAUAUGGUGAGCUUCAUGAAUUAGAGACCAAGUUUUGGGUGCACCAUGAUUAGAGAAUCAUUGGAUAAGAGUUGUCCACUCAUCGGUUGAUCCAUCACCAAUAACUGUUAGGUGAGGUGAUGAGCCAGUCGGUGAGACUGCACCACCCA
rnacentral:lncRNA from 1 species